rnacentral:rRNA from 1 species
GAUGAACGCUGGCGGCGUGCUUAACACAUGCAAGUCGAACGGAAAGGCCCAAGCUUGCUUGGGUACUCGAGUGGCGAACGGGUGAGUAACACGUGGGUGAUCUGCCCUGCACUUCGGGAUAAGCCUGGGAAACUGGGUCUAAUACCGGAUAGGACCACAUUUUGGAUGGUGUGGUGGAAAGUUUUUCGGUGUGGGAUGAGCUCGCGGCCUAUCAGCUUGUUGGUGGGGUAAUGGCCUACCAAGGCGUCGACAGGUAGCCGGCCUGAGAGGGUGUACGGCCACAUUGGGACUGAGAUACGGCCCAGACUCCUACGGGAGGCAGCAGUGGGGAAUAUUGCACAAUGGGCGCAAGCCUGAUGCAGCGACGCCGCGUGGGGGAUGACGGCCUUCGGGUUGUAAACUCCUUUCGCUAGGGACGAAGCGUUUUUGUGACGGUACCUGGAGAAGAAGCACCGGCUAACUACGUG